rnacentral:rRNA from 1 species
UACGUAGGGGGCAAGCGUUGUCCGGAAUCAUUGGGCGUAAAGAGCGUGUAGGCGGCCAGAUAAGUCCGUUGUGAAAUCGCCGCUGCACAGGUGCGGGGUCAGCGGAUACGGCCGCAGUUGUGAGCAAGCUAGGGGGCAAUGGAAUUCCCGGUGUAGUGGUGGAAUGCGUAGAUAUCGGGAGGAACACCAGUGGCGAAGGCGGUUGCCUGGAGCUUUGCUGACGCUGAGGAGCGAAAGCGUGGGGGAGCGAACAGG